rnacentral:rRNA from 1 species
GGUUGAUCCUGCCAGUAGAAUAUGCUUGUCUCAAAGAUUAAGCCAUGCAUGUCUAAGUAUAAACUGUUUUAUACUGUGAAACUGCGAAUGGCUCAUUAAAUCAGUUAUAGUUUAUUUGAUGGUACCUUACUACUCGGAUAACCGUAGUAAUUCUAGAGCUAAUACGUGCGUAAAACCCGACUUCUGGAAGGGUCGCUCCUAUUAGAUUAAACGACCGACCGGGCUCUGCCCGACUCGCGGUGAAUCAUGAUAGUUUAACGAAUCGCAUGGCCUUGCGCCGGCGAUGUUUCAUU